UAGCCCACAGGGCACCUAGAUACUUGGGUAAACAUUAUCCUGAAAGCGUCUGUGUGAGUGUCUCUGGAUAAGGUUAACAUUUGCAUCAAAAGACCAAGUGUUGGAGCAUGUGUAGCUCAGUGGUAGAGUGCAUGCUUAGCGUACAUGAGUCCUGGGUUCAAUCCUCAGUAUACUCAUUAAAAAAAAGAAAGAAAGAGAGAAAAAUAUUUUUUAAAAAGACCAGGUAAAGCAGAUGGUCAUCCCCAGUGUGGGUGUCCUCUGGAGGCCUGAAUGAAACAGAAAAUGGGACAAGAGAGAAUUUGCUCUCUGCCUUUUUGCUUUCAAGCUGAGACACUGGUCUUCUCCUGCUCCCAGACUGGAAUCAUCUUGGAAUGGAACCAUACCAUGGGCUUUCCUGUGUCUCCAGCUUCUCGAUGAUGGAUCUCGGGACCGUCUCAGCCUCCAUAAUCACGAAAACAGAUGUGGGGCGUGAGGAGGGCCAUGCCCCAGGUCUUGGUUGAGCCCCUGGGACAUGCCUGGCCAGGUGUGGGUCCUUGGCUUUCUGCAUGAAAGAAUUCAAGUGCGAGCCACCGUUGAGUAAAGUCUUAUUCACAGGUGAGGAAACCAAAGGUUUAGGAAAAGAGAAAUAACUUGCCAGAAUCACUCAGCUAAAGGGGAUCGAAGCAGAUGGUGAAUUCGUGAGCAGGUAGGGGAUUUUUUGUUUCUUGAAUCAAUGACCUGAAAGCUGGUCUGUCUGUAUAGG